UACGGGGGGGGCAAGCGUUGUUCGGAAUUACUGGGCGUAAAGGGCUCGUAGGUGGCCAACUAAGUCAUACGUGAAAUCCCUCGGCUUAACCGGGGAACUGCGUCUGAUACUGGAUGGCUUGAGUUUGGGAGAGGGACGCGGAAUUCCAGGUGUAGCGGUGAAAUGCGUAGAUAUCUGGAGGAACACCGGUGGCGAAGGCGGCGUUCUGGACUGCAACUGACACUGAGGAACGAAAGCCAGGGGAGCAAACGGG
rnacentral:rRNA from 1 species